rnacentral:miRNA from 1 species
GUCGCGAAGGCGUAGCGACUGUCA